AACACCUUUGAAAACUCAGGGAGCCACACCCGACCAAAACGACAGAAAGAGUAUUAUACUCUGUCACAAGCUCUUGAACUUGUGCUGGAGGGAAGGGAUCUGGACAACUCAGACCUAGAGGAGUUGUCAGACACCGACGACCCAGUGAUGGAUGCUGAUUACCAUCCUCCACAAAACGAGACGAGCAGCAGUGAGGAGAGCAGUGGGGGUGAAGACCCCAUUCCCCAACCCACUGAGGCCAGCCGGGGGAGGAAACGUUUCCGUGGUGAAGUGGCUGGUUAUCGCUCAGACCGUAGCAUUGCUACUUCACGCACACCAAGACAUGGAACUCAGCAGGUCGAGGUUGGUGGCUCAACUGCUGACCC